CACAACCACAACGAUAACACCAACAGUCUGAUCUGAAAAGAACACAAUGAUCAUAUUCUUCUGUUUCAUGUUGAAGGUGUUACUAGUUUCAGGUUCUUCCUUCAGUGACAGCGUUCACCAGAAUCCAUCUGACAUCUACAACAAACCAGGGGAAUCCACCAACAUCACCUGUUCACACAGCAUCGACAACUACGACCGAAUCCUGUGGUAUAAACAACUAAAGGACAGGAAACUACAAUUCCUUGGAUACGUUUUUAAGAAUCUUCAUAGCCCUGAGGCUGGGAUGGGUGUGCAGAUGUCAGGGACUGCAGAUAUAAAGAAAACCUGCACAUUAACCAUUGAAGACCUCAGCCUGAACAGCAGCGCCGUUUACUUCUGUGCUGCCAGUCAACACACGGUGACACAAAUCAACAUGCAUGCACUGAGCGGGAUGUGA